AACUUAACACAGGGGUGCUGGAAGUCAUUUCCGGCUGAGAGGAAAGCAAAUGGCAGCUUUUAAACCCUUAAACCUGAUCCGGGUAAUGCCGGCGUAGGAAGAGCGUUCUUGUUUCUUCA
rnacentral:ncRNA from 2 species